rnacentral:rRNA from 1 species
GCCCAGACUCCUACGGGAGGCAGCAGUGGGGAAUAUUGCACAAUGGGGGAAACCCUGAUGCAGCGACGCCGCGUGAAGGAAGAAGUAUUUCGGUAUGUAAACUUCUAUCAGCAGGGAAGAAAAUGACGGUACCUGACUAAGAAGCCCCGGCUAACUACGUGCCAGCAGCCGCGGUAAUACGUAGGGGGCAAGCGUUAUCCGGAUUUACUGGGUGUAAAGGGAGCGUAGGCGGUGAUGCAAGUCAGAAGUGAAAGCCCGCAGCUCAACUGCGGGACUGCUUUUGAAACUGUAUGACUAGAUUGCAGGAGAGGUAAGUGGAAUUCCUAGUGUAGCGGUGAAAUGCGUAGAUAUUAGGAGGAACACCGGCGGCGAAGGCGGCCUGCUGGACUGAAACUGACGUUGAGGCUCGAAAGCGUGGGGAGCAAACAGGAUUAGAUACCCCCGUAGG